AGGUCACAAGAUUGCGCCAACCCUUACAUGGUCCUUAAAAAAAAAACCUUCUGACACUGCAGUAGUGAAAAUGAAGCGCACGAUGGGCGGAAGCUAGGAAGACAAACAUAAAGAUGAAGUGCUUAAUUCAAGGUCACACAAUGUCGGGGAUGGACCUCCAGAUUUCCUUACUGGAAAACAAGCUCAGGGCUCCCACUGAUUGUACAUUAUGGUGAGACGUGGUCUUGUAACACAGUGGUUAAGAAUGUGACUUUGGAGCCAGCCUGCUAGGGGCUGAAUUCUGACUCAGCCAUUUACUAACUGUGUGACCUUAGGUGGAGUCUCACUCUGUAGCCCAAGCUGGAGUGGCGUGAUCUCGACUCACUGCAACCUCCGCCUCCUGGGAUCAAGUGAUUCUCGUGCCUCAGCCUCCUGAGUAGCCGGGACUACAGGUCACAGAAUUUUCCACACUCCUUGACAGAGGUGCUUAACCCUUAUCCAUCAGCAUUCUCAGACAGCACCUCCGGUUAGGGACAGUAUCUGACCGUCCGACAUCCCUGCAGCCCCCAUGUGUCACACAGACUCAGCCUCAGGUAGAUGGUUUCCGUAGAUGGUGGCUUUCUUUGGACCCUUGACAUCAACCAGUUACUAUUUGACUCUUCUGCAGAACCCCAUGUUGACCCCUGCUUUGAGGUGGCAGAGUUAACACUACUCUUCGUUAUAAGCUCUCGUCUGGGGCAACUCAGAAGAACGUAAGUUCCAUGGGGAAGGUUUUUGUUUGUUUCUAAUUGUGGUAAAAUAUAUAUAACAUAAAAUCGACCAUUUUAAUGAUUUUUGAGUGUACAAUUCAGUGACAUUAAGUAUAUUUACAAUAUCAUGUAACCAUCAACACCAUUCAUCUUCAGAACUUCUUCAUCUUCCCACACUGAAACUCUCUACCCACUAAAC
rnacentral:lncRNA from 1 species